GAUGAACGCUGGCGGCGUGCCUAAUACAUGCAAGUCGAGCGAACGGACGAGAAGCUUGCUUCUCUGAUGUUAGCGGCGGACGGGUGAGUAACACGUGGAUAACCUACCUAUAAGACUGGGAUAACUUCGGGAAACCGUAGCUAAUACCGGAUAAUAUUUUGAACCGCAUGGUUCAAAAGUGAAAGACGGUCUUGCUGUCACUUAUAGAUGGAUCCGCGCUGCAUUAGCUAGUUGGUAAGGUAACGGCUUACCAAGGCAACGAUGCAUAGCCGACCUGAGAGGGUGAUCGGCCACACUGGAACUGAGACACGGUCCAGACUCCUACGGGAGGCAGCAGUAGGGAAGCGUCCGCAAUGGGCGAAAGCCUGACGGAGCAACGCCGCGUGAGUGAUGAAGGUCUUCGGAUCGUAAAACUCUGUUAUUAGGGAAGAACAUAUGUGUAAGUAACUGUGCACAUCUUGACGGUACCUAAUCAGAAAGCCACGGCUAACUACGUG
rnacentral:rRNA from 1 species